AAUCAACGCUGGCGGCGUGCCUAACACAUGCAAGUCGAACGAGAAAGUGGAGCAAUCCAUGAGUAAAGUGGCGCACGGGUGAGUAACACGUGACUAACCUACCCUUGAGUGGGGGAUAACCUAGGGAAACCUGGGCUAAUACCGCAUAAUACCUACGGGUCAAAGGAGCAAUUCGCUUUGGGAGGGGGUCGCGGCCGAUUAGUUAGUUGGCAGGGUAAUGGCCUACCAAGACGAUGAUCGGUACCGGCCUGAGAGGGCGCACGGACACACUGGAACUGAAACACGGUCCAGACUCCUACGGGAGGCAGCAGUGGGGAAUUUUGCGCAAUGGGGGAAACCCUGACGCAGCAACGCCGCGUGGAGGAUGAAGUCCCUUGGGACGUAAACUCCUUUCGAUCGGGACGAUAAUGACGGUACCGGAAGAAGAAGCCCCGGCUAACUUCGUGCCAG
rnacentral:rRNA from 1 species